rnacentral:rRNA from 1 species
GUCAUUUUAAGAGAAGUAAAAGUCGUAACAAGGUCUCCGUUGGUGAACCAGCGGAGGGAUCAUUA